rnacentral:lncRNA from 1 species
AAAACAACUUCCUAAAUUGAUUCUGAAAACCUCGGAAACAAACAACUAGAAAAAGUUCUUGCUAUCAAAAACCUCAAACUUUAUGAUAAUCCCUCAGUCAACCUUUAUUUUUCAUCUUUGAUUGAACAACAUCUUAAAAAAUAAUGAACAAAAAGAUAAUUUUAUCACGUAAUUUUUAUUAGUUAUAAAUUAUUUAAAUAUUAAAAAUUUAGU